GCCUGGAUGGCUCAGUCGGUUGAACAUCUGACUUUGGCUCAGGUCAUGAUCUCACAGUUCGCGGGUUUGAGCCCCGCUUCAGGCU
rnacentral:tRNA from 1 species